rnacentral:rRNA from 1 species
GACAGAGGAUGCAAGCGUUAUCCGGAAUGAUUGGGCGUAAAGCGUCUGUAGGUGGCUUUUUAAGUCCGCCGUCAAAUCCCAGGGCUCAACCCUGGACAGGCGGUGGAAACUACCAAGCUGGAGUACGGUAGGGGCAGAGGGAAUUUCCGGUGGAGCGGUGAAAUGCGUAGAGAUCGUUUGGAACGCCAACGGUGAAAACAGACAGCUGGGAGUGUGCUGACGCUGAGACACGAAAGCUAGGGGAGCGAAUGGG